CAGACCAGCUCUACACCUGGAAGCAAGGAAACUGCUGUUUAUAAGCAGCUCCUGUUUGCCAGGUGUUACAAUGGUAUAAUUUCAUAAUGAUCCUAAUAGUGAGGUGUGACUGUAUCAAUCCGACAGGUACAUUCCUGAGCCCUAGAGCGCAUCACAAUCUAUGCUGAAGUCACUUGGCCAGGAUUCAAUGCCAAGUCUGAGUCCAGAGAUCAGAACCCACUGCAUCUCAACAGGCUGUUUGCCAGCCAAAACCCAGCCUCU
rnacentral:lncRNA from 1 species